UUUAUUGCUCUUUUGAGCACGCUUUUUGCCAACCUUAAUUCUUCUAGAUAAGUGCUUCAUGAUACUUCUCAUAAUUUUUCAUUUCUCUUUUUUUUUUCUUUUGAAGUUUCGUGCUUUUCUAAUUUUUUCUGAACUUAUCUACUUUUCAUCGGUGUCCGAAAAAUUUGAUGAAGCCCCAAACUUAGGAUUUUCCACAGAUCUGGGGUAAACAACACUUAUCUAAGCAAGGCAUGGUAGUGUUUGGGCUUACAGUUAUUUACAGUGGUUAAACAAUAAACAAAAGGAAAUAUGGCUCGAAUUGGGUGAACGAAGGGUAAUA
rnacentral:lncRNA from 1 species